CGAGUGUACUUGAGCUUACACCCGUCCGGUGUGGUCCGUUCACGUGAUCAAGAAAGCAGUUCGCAAGGAGGAGGAAACAAAACAACUGAUGAAGUUUUCUCUUCCACCAUUUUUUUGACUUCGAGUGCGGAUUGGAUGGCUAGGGAAAAGUUGUACGAGAAGUGAAAAUCGUUUCAGAUAGGUGGUGAAGAAAAGCAAGACGCAAGUAAAGGCAGCACAUUUCCGAAGCGCAACAAAGUAAUCCGCUAGCAAAACAAAGUUUACUUCGAGAAGGUUCUGACAUUUGAGGUUAGGAUUGUGCAAGAACCGUUGACGGCGGCUGUCAUUACCGAUUUGUUUUGAUUUAUAGCCUUUCCAAAGGGAAAAGGUGCGUGUGAAGUGGAAAACGGGGUUACUACCGGAAAUUCUCACUUUUUUCCGUUUCUGUUAGUAAAUACGUUGAUAAAAUGAAUUCAACAAUGCUGUACUCUUUACAUAAUGCCAUUGGAAGGAAUGUUUUAAAGGGACAGCUGUAAGCAUUUAAGUUGUUCAAUACACCAGAUUGAGAAGCAACGUAUCCUACAUUCGUUGGUGAUUGGUCCCUAGAUAAAUUAUCGUUGAAUUUUGAUGCUGAAACCUUCGAUGACUUUCUGCGCUUCAACCGCCGCAACCAGGAUACGAGAUAAAUGCUUCUGUACACUGUCGUGCGGUAUUUGGCUAGA